GCCAGAAUGAUGGAGUUUGGUAGACAUGCUAGGUUUAGGUUCUAGUUCCUUCUUGGAGUAAGGGUUCAAGUCCCUUUUUUGGUA
rnacentral:tRNA from 1 species